UCCAAUUAAAGCAACAAUGGUCUCGUUGCUGCCAUAUUGGAUACAUUGGAUCGGUGAUUGACGGGGGGUCUGAAACUCCAGAGAUGUGAGAGGUCAGACCCUUUCCGCCGAUAGCUCUUUCCAUCAGGGUUACCCAUACGUGGUUUAGAAAGGUUGGGAAAGGUAUCUCUGGGAUGGUGGUGAUAUUUUUCUAAAUUCCAAACAAGAACCAACCUGCUCUGAUACCAUCUUAAAGAUGGUAAACGAGAGAGGCGGUAUUGUUCUUGUGAGCCAUUGGAACGCAGAGAUAUUUUGGAGCAGAGAAAAGUAGGAGAAUUGUAUUUUCUGUAUAUUUUUUCAUUGUUUACAGCCCCUCAAUAUAUAGGGAGGAUUUAUCCCUAAUUAUGGAAAACAUAUCAAUCUAUUCUAGGAUACAAAAUUAUUUACGUAA